rnacentral:misc_RNA from 1 species
GAUGAAGAACGUAGCGAAAUGCGAUACUUGGUGUGAAUUGCAGAAUCCCGUGAACCAUCGAGUCUUUGAACGCAAGUUGCGCCCGAAGCCACUAGGCCGAGGGCACGCCUGCCUGGGCGUCACACGCCGUUGCCCCCCCAUCUACUCCUUCGGGAUUGCGGGGGGGCGGAUGAUGGCCUCCUGUGCGCCUAGCCGCGCGGUUGGCAUAAAUACCAAGUCCUCGGCGACGCACGCCACGACAAUCGGUGGUUGCGAAACCUCGGUUGCCCGUCGUGUGCGUUCGUCGCGCAUCGAGGGCUCGAAAAAAUGCUCGGCUCCGGCUGGGCUUUCAACGCGACCCCAGGUCAGGCGGGGUUACCCGCUGAAUUUAAGCAUAUCAAUAAGCGAGGA